UCUCCGCCACCACUCCCUCUCUCUCGCACAAAUCCCAUCCCCUGCCGGUCUCUCUCUCUCUCGCCCAGAUCCCGCCCCCAAUCCUGCGCAGCCACUCCCUGUGCAGAACACCGCCGUCGUCGCUGCUCCCAUUCGCUGCCGGCCCCUUAGCCCCCACCUCGCCUCCGCCGUAAUUGGGAUCCAUGGAUCCGCCUCGUCUUCGACCGCGGCCAGGGUCGUGAUCCAUGGGAGCGCCUCAUGCGGGCCGCGCUCUAGCGGCACCGGGACCACCUCCGUGCCGGCGGGGCCGCGUGGAGGGAGGGAGGGGGGGCUGGCCGCCGCUGUGCCAGCCUCGCUCAGCCAGACCACCAACAUCGAGCAGAUCCUGCAGGCGGCCGACGACAUCGAGGCAACCCAAUCUCCAGGUGCCUCACCACCUCCUCGAGCUCCCCUCUCCCAUCUCCUCCUCAGCCUCCUCCCCUUCCCCUUCUCCUCCUCUCCAUUUUUUCUUUCUAGGGUUUGAGUUUGACAGCAGCAGCUGCUCCACCCCGUCCUUAAUUCCAACGGUCGCAGUUCAUCCAGGUGCAUCUCACUUCCUCUCCCUCCUCUUCCUCCUCCUCCUCCCUUUCUUUCUGGGUUCAGUCUCAAACUCGUGUUGCUGCUUAGUUCAUUUGUUCUUGUAGUUCUGUGUUCUUCUUAGUUAUUGUAGAUGUCUGCUACUGCUUAGAUUGGAAGUCUUUCUGAAAUUUUGACUGCAUAAAAGUUAUCUUCAGAGAGUAGUUGAGGCCUAUAAAAUUUGAUAAAAAAUUCAGAACUGAUAUGUUUCUGAAUGUUUGUGACUUGUUUUAGUAUGUCGAUGUACACAUAUCGUUCAUGUGAGAUUUCUUCCAUAUCUUAAAGACUUAAAAAUUGCUGAGGUGCGCAUCCAUAUUUGAGUUGUUCAUGUCUGAAUAUAGCAUGCUGGUCAUGAUGCAGUCAUAUGGUUGCCAUGAUGUCUGAAUAUUCCUGCUGCACAUAUACAACUUUUACUUUCAAGUUAUGUUGCCAUAGACCUAUAUAUCGGUUAUGUUAGCUUAGAUUUUUAUUAGUCUUAAAAAAUUCGCAUGGGCGUAUGACAUGUGAGCUUACAAUAACCCCUUGCAAGCUGCUGUUAGGUAUGUAACUAACUAGUGAUUUUUUUUGUAUGUUUCAGUUUGAUGAAGCCAUUAAAAUGUUCGUUAUCCACACUCUUUGUCGGACUGAAAUCAUCAGUUUUAACCUUGUAACGUGUUAAUGUGUACUUUCAAGAUUCAUUCAGACAAGUGUUAAUACUUGUUAUCUAUACUGGCUUCGCUUCACCAGAUUAGUUGUGGCUAUAGUUAUUUGUCAAUGUGUACUUUCAAGAUUCGUUCAGACAAGUGUUAAUGCUUCCAUCUAAACAUCCUACCUGAUUUUGUUACUAUGUUGACAGUCUUACUGGAUGAACGUUAUCUCAACUGAACUCUUAACCUAGACAAGUGUUAAUGCUUCCAUCUAAUCAUUCUUCUGUGAACUGAAUCUUUUUCUUUUUCUGAUUGAAAUAUUCAUUUACUUGAGUUGUUCUUGACAGGGAUUGCUUGCAAGAUUUCAUUCAAGUGUAGUGACUCGCUAUCCAAUUCUAUCCUUGCAACUUUCUUAUUGCAAGAUAUGUAUAACCAUGGAUCCUUCAAUGUUUUCAUAUUGCAUUCUCUAAUUAUCUUCUUACCUUUUGGAUUCUUUACAGAUCAGGAUCAGUUUGGAACUUACAUGGGAGAUGCUGAAUGAUUGUUGGUUCGAUUCAGGCGAGGAAGAAGGUGGCCAGGGCUCUGCGGGAGGUGAUAAGGAAGAGGAUGGUCGACAGGGUGCAAAAUGUUAGGUGGUAAGCACAAUCCUGGUGCACGUGUGGUGGUAGGAAGAGCAUGAAAAUAUCAGAGACGUAAAAGGCAAAAACCAACCUCUGGAAUGGAGCGAUUACAAGUCGAUGCCACUUACACAAUGUGUGAUAAAUGAAACAUUGCGUGUUGCUAACUUAAUUAGUGGGGUAUUCAGGCGUGCAAACACUGAUUCAUUUUAAAGACUAUAUUAUUCCAAAGGGCUGCAAAUUAUUUGCUUCAUUCCGAGCUGUGCACCUUAAUACUGAACACUAUGAGAAUGCUCGGACCUUUGAUCCUUGGAGAUGGCAGGUACAUUAGGUUCUGGUUACCCUUAUGGAGUUAUGGUCAAAGUAAGAGUAAUCAUAGAUAAGAAAAGUAUCCCCAGUAGUUAGUGGAAUCUUCUUCCUUUUUUAGUCCCUUUUAUCUGUAACUUGGUACAAACAGCAGUCGGCAAACUCUGUUUUGCUUGUAAAAUGGCCCAAAAACUGCUAUGCAAUGCGUACUGGUUACAGGUAACAUUUUGCUGUGCAUAUCUUAAGAUCUUGCUAGUCGUUUA